UCUGAGGCCCUGUUUGGCACAGCUCUAGCUCCAGCUCCAGGAGGGGUGGAGCUGGAGCUCAACCAAACAGUUUCAGCUCCACUAAAACUGGGACUAGAGUUGGGUGGAGCUCUCUCACAGAAUAUACUAGAGUUGUGGAGCUGGGUUUAGGCAGCUCCACGACUCCACUCUAGACUCAGGGCCUGUUUGGUACAGCUCCAACUCCUAAAUUUAACUCCAGAAGUUGAGUCUGGAGUGGAGUUGUGGAGCUGCCUAAACCCAACUCCACAACUCUAGUUCAUUUUGUGAGAGAGCUCCACCCAGCUCCACUUCCAGUUUUGGUGGAGCUGAAACUGUUUGGCAGAGCUCCAACUCCAAGAGGGGUGGAAUUGGAGCUAGAGCUGUGCCAAACAGACCCUCAAA
rnacentral:misc_RNA from 1 species